rnacentral:ncRNA from 2 species
CGUCACUUUGCCCCACCGGGCGGCGGCAGGGACGUUAAAAGGGAAGCGGGUGUCAAUCCCGCACGAUCUCGUCACUGUGAUAAGGGAGUCCACUGUCAGGGUGCUUUUGCACCGGUCACUGAGCCAUCCGGCUUGGGAAGGCGGCAGCGGGCGUUGAGCUUUCAGUCAGGAAACCUGCCCGCUGUUGGUACCGGGG